rnacentral:rRNA from 1 species
AGCAGCCGCGGUAAUUCCAGCUCCAAUAGCGUAUAUUAAAGUUGUUGCAGUUAAAAAGCUCGUAGUUGAAUUUCGAGAUCAAAUUGUUGGUCGUGCCUUGGUACGCACUGGCAUUAUUGGUUUCUCCCUUCUGAAGAACCAUGAUGUCAUUAAUUUGGUGUCAUGGGGAAUCAGGACUGUUACUUUGAAAAAAUUAGAGUGUUUAAAGCAGGCUCGCGCUUGAAUACAUUAGCAUGGAAUAAUGAAAUAGGACGUUUGAUUCUAUUUUGUGGUUUCUAGGAUCGACGUAAUGAUUAAUAGGGAUAGUUGGGGCAUUAGUAUUCAAUUGUCAGAGGUGAAAUUC